CUCCGUAGGCAGGAAGAGGCCAUAGUGAGGCACAAAGCAGCCUGGACUUGGAGUCAGAAGGCCUGA
rnacentral:miRNA from 1 species